rnacentral:rRNA from 1 species
ACAACUUUCAACAAUGGAUCUCUUGGCUCUGGCAUCGAUGAAGAACGCAGCG